rnacentral:rRNA from 1 species
UACGUAGGGUGCGAGCGUUGUCCGGAAUUAUUGGGCGUAAAGAGCUCGUAGGCGGUGUGUCGCGUCGGCCGUGAAAACCUGCAGCUUAACUGUGGGCUUGCGGUCGAUACGGGCAUCACUGGAGUUCGGCAGGGGAGACUGGAAUUCCUGGUGUAGCGGUGAAAUGCGCAGACUAGUCAGGAGGGAACACCGGUGGCGAAGGCGGGUCUCUGGGCCGGAUACUGACGCUGGAGGAGCGAAAAGCGUGGGGAGCGAACAGGAUUAGACUACCCUGGU